UGAUUUAUGCAACUCAUCGCCUUCCAC
rnacentral:sRNA from 1 species